AGUAGAAUUUCUGGAUCAUAUGGUAACUCUAACUUUUUGAGGAACUACCAAACUGUAUUUCGCAGUGGCCAUACCAUUUUACAUUCCCACCAGUAAU
rnacentral:pre_miRNA from 1 species